ACGGGAGGCAGCAGUAGGGAAUCUUCGGCAAUGGGGGCAACCCUGACCGAGCAACGCCGCGUGAGUGAAGAAGGUUUUCGGAUCGUAAAGCUCUGUUGUAAGAGAAGAACGUGUGUGAGAGUGGAAAGUUCACACAGUGACGGUAACUUACCAGAAAGGGACGGCUAACUACGUGCCAGCAGCCGCGGUAAUACGUAGGUCCCGAGCGUUGUCCGGAUUUAUUGGGCGUAAAGCGCGCGCAGGCGGUUUAAUAAGUCUGAAGUUAAAGGCCGUGGCUUAUCCAUUGUUCGCUUUGGAAUCUGUUAGACUUGAGUGCAGAAGGUGAGAGUGGAAUUCCAUGUGUAGCGGUGAAAUGCGUUGAUAUAUGGAGGAUCACCUGUGGCGAAAGCGGCUCUCUGGUCUGUAACUGUCGCUGAGUCUCGAUAGCGUGGUGAGCAAACAGGAUUAGAUACCCUGUUU
rnacentral:rRNA from 1 species